GCCUGGUUGGUUCAGUUGGUAGAGCACGUGACUCUUCAUCUCAGGGUUGUGAGUCUGAGUCUCACACUGGGUG
rnacentral:tRNA from 1 species